AGAGCGAACGCUGGCGGCAGGCCUAACACAUGCAAGUCGAACGGACCCUUCGGGGUUAGUGGCGGACGGGUGAGUAACACGUGGGAACGUGCCUUUUGGUUCGGAAUAGCUCCUGGAAACGGGUGGUAAUGCCGAAUGUGCCCUUCGGGGGAAAGAUUUAUCGCCAUUAGAGCGGCCCGCGUCUGAUUAGCUAGUUGGUGAGGUAAUGGCUCACCAAGGCGACGAUCAGUAGCUGGUCUGAGAGGAUGACCAGCCACAUUGGGACUGAGACACGGCCCAAACUCCUACGGGAGGCAGCAGGUGGGGAAUCUUGCGCAAUGGGCGAAAGCCUGACGCAGCCAUGCCGCGUGAAUGAUGAAGGUCUUAGGAUUGUAAAAUUCUUUCGACCGGGUACGAUAAUGACGGUACCCGGAGAAGAGCCCGACUAACUCGCGCCAGCAGCCGC
rnacentral:rRNA from 1 species